GGAGCAACCAGCCGGGAAUUGUGCGUAUCUCCCGGCCGCUUUCCCACGGCCGCGGGGGCUGACUGCACUCACCCACGCACUCCAGCAGAUUUCCGCCCCGAACAAUAUGCACUCGUCGAUGUCUGCGGAGUGAUAAAUAUUGGACGCCCAGCGUCCUCUACCUGCAGGGCCACUGAGGCCCGGCAAGUCCAGAACAUGUGAAAGAGUGGAAGGAUGGCUGAGUGGACGGAUAGAUGGAAAGACAGAUCAACAGUGUGUCUAGGAGAUUACUGCUCCCUGCCAUUCCUCCUCAGGGGUUCACACCCAGUACCC